rnacentral:ribozyme from 1 species
UGAAUGAGUUGUUCUGCAGAUGGAUUGAAUCCCUUUACCCUACCCCAGGGCAGUAUGAAGGCAGUAUUCAUUCCAAGAUCCUACUCAACACUUCCACGUCGUGCAGAAUCGUAGCAUUUCAACACGAUGAAUGACUAAGUUGAGAGGG